rnacentral:rRNA from 1 species
CAGUCGUACUUGCGGAUAAUCAACCUUUAGAUGCGAUUUUGUGGAGCGUCAAGAGUUAAACGCCUUCAUGCCUGCAUAUUCGUAUACUUUGGGUGUACUUAUUCGUGUGGUAAGUUAACAUCAAUUUUGGUGAUCAUAAAAUGACUAGAGGAAUGUGACAGCUUGCUGUGUUAUAGCCUCUUGUCGUACACGGUGCUUGGGGAUUGAGGACUGCAGCACGCCUUUUGGUCGGGGUUCUCCCACGCCACGUGCUUAGGAUGCUGGCGUAAUGGCUUUAAACGACCCGUCUUGAAACACGGACCAAGGAGUACUAACAUAUAUGCGAGUGUU